rnacentral:lncRNA from 1 species
CUUGAAUGAAACAAAACGGUGAAAACUGAAGCCUACCGAAAACGCAAUACAACUUUUCACGGAAACAAGAGCAUCGCACGCGCGUUCGAGCUCUAAAACGCUUCAGAAAAGAGCAUCGAUCGGCUAUCGGCUGUCAGCAGCGCUCCUCUGAUUUGAUUGGUUCUCUGCGUCUUGACGUCAUUUCCGUCCGUGUGAACGGAGGCGCAGCCCAGCGUAUGCUAAUGACCUGGAGGCGGUAGGGGAGCGCCAGCAGCAGCAUCCUCGACACAAAGAAGGGAACGGUGCCGAGCCGCAGCCUGUGGAGCUCUGCUCCGGGUCUCAAAUUGACUACGAGCCCCGCGGCGGGUCGGCGCGCGCUCCAUGGCGCGCCAGCAUGCGCUCCGCACCGGGGGCCCACGCGCCAGCUGAGCGACCGCGAGCGAAACUAACUACGACGGCCGCGGCUCCGCCGGUGGUGCAGCGCUGCGAAAACACGUGCUCAUCCCGUGACGCAGACACUACCGUACUGCGCUGCCCAGGAACUGUCGGACAGUCUUGGUGGUGAGACGAGCAAGCGGUCGUGGGCAAGGACUCUGUGGGAGAACCUCACCUGCACGUCUCC